ACCGCCUACUUCUUUCUUAGUAGGUAGAUUCUGCCCAAUGAAGCUUAAAUGGCCGCAGUAUCCUGACUGUGCUAAGGUAGCAUAAUAACUUGUCUCUUAAUUGGAGGCUAGAAUGAAUGAACUGACGAAGAAAAUACUGUCUCAGGGGGAGAAAGAAAAUUUAUACCCAGGUAAAAAAUCCUGGGAGCUGUAGAGGGACGAUAAGACCCUAAAAGCUUUACCCUUUAAGCCUAAACCGCUAUAGCUAAGUUAGGUCUGAUGGGUUUUCACUGGGGCGGUGACUCUACCUAACUAGAGCAAUUAAAACACUCUGGGUGAACCUAAUAACCUUGAUUGAAAUCCAAAACUAAGUUACUUUAGGGAUAACAGCGCAAUUCUCUGUAAGAGCCCUUAUCGACCAGAGAGAUUACGACCUCGAUGUUGAAUUGAAGACUUAACCAGAGCAGCAUUUGGUUGAAA
rnacentral:rRNA from 1 species